rnacentral:rRNA from 1 species
AGGACGAACGCUGGCGGCGUGCCUAAUACAUGCAAGUCGAGCGGACCGACGGGAGCUUGCUCCCUUAGGUCAGCGGCGGACGGGUGAGUAACACGUGGGUAACCUGCCUGUAAGACUGGGAUAACUCCGGGAAACCGGGGCUAAUACCGGAUGCUUGAUUGAACCGCAUGGUUCAAUCAUAAAAGGUGGCUUUUAGCUACCACUUACAGAUGGACCCGCGGCGCAUUAGCUAGUUGGUGAGGUAACGGCUCACCAAGGCGACGAUGCGUAGCCGACCUGAGAGGGUGAUCGGCCACACUGGGACUGAGACACGGCCCAGACUCCUACGGGAGGCAGCAGUAGGGAAUCUUCCGCAAUGGACGAAAGUCUGACGGAGCCAACGCCGCGUGAGUGAUGAAGGUUUUCGGAUCGUAAAACUCUGUUGUUAGGGAAGAACAAGUACCGUUCGAAUAGGGCGGUACCUUGACGGUACCUAACCAGAAAGCCACGGCUAACUACGUGCCAGCCGCCGC